rnacentral:rRNA from 1 species
AGUGAACGCUGGCGGUAGGCCUAACACAUGCAAGUCGAACGGCAGCACAGAGGAGCUUGCUCCUUGGGUGGCGAGUGGCGGACGGGUGAGGAAUACAUCGGAAUCUACUCUGUCGUGGGGGAUAACGUAGGGAAACUUACGCUAAUACCGCAUACGACCUACGGGUGAAAGCAGGGGAUCUUCGGACCUUGCGCGAUUGAAUGAGCCGGUGUCGGAUUAGCUAGUUGGCGGGGUAAAGGCCCACCAAGGCGACUAUCCGUAGCUGGUCUGAGAGGAUGAUCAGCCACACUGGAACUGAGACACGGUCCAGACUCCUACGGGAGGCAGCAGUGGGGAAUAUUGGACAAUGGGCGCAAGCCUGAUCCAGCCAUACCGCGUGGGUGAAGAAGGCCUUCGGGUUGUAAAGCCCUUCUGUUGGGAAAGAAAUCCAUCUGGUUAAUACCCGGGUGGGAUGACGGUACCCAAAGAAUAAGCACCGGCUAACUUCGUGCCAGCCGCCGCAGUAA